rnacentral:misc_RNA from 1 species
GACCGAUCAAGCCUGGCUUGGUAUUAGAGUUCGCACUUCAGCGGCUCCUAAACUCAGUGGCGGUGCCGUUAGGCUCUAAGCGUAGUAAUACUCCUCGCUAUAGGGUUCUUGCGGUUGCUUGCCAUAACCCAAAUUUUUCUGG